rnacentral:rRNA from 1 species
CCUACGGUGGGCAGCAGUGAGGAAUAUUGGUCAAUGGUCGGGAGACUGAACCAGCCAAGCCGCGUGAGGGAGGAAGGUACAGAGUAUCGUAAACCUCUUUUGUCAGGGAACAAAGACUGGGACGCGUCCCCGGAUGAGUGUACCUGAAGAAAAAGCAUCGGCUAACUCCGUGCCAGCAGCCGCGGUAAUACGGAGGAUGCGAGCGUUAUCCGGAUGUAUUGGGUUUAAAGGGUGCGCAGGCGGUCUGUUAAGUCAGCGGUCAAGGCCCGGGGCUCAACCCCGGCCCGCCGUUGAAACUGGCAGUCUCGAGUUGGAGAGAAGUAUGCGGAAUGCGCGGUGUAGCGGUGAAAUGCAUAGAUAUCACGCAGAACUCCGAUUGCGAAGGCAGCAUACCGGCGCGCAACUGACGCUGAGGCUCGAAAGCGUGGGUAGCAAACAGGAUUAGAUACCCUGGUAGUC